rnacentral:rRNA from 1 species
CUCAGUAAUGCAGCUAACGCAUUAAGUGUACCGCCUGGGGAGUACGGUCGCAAGAUUAAAACUCAAAGGAAUAGACGGGGACCCGCACAAGCGGUGGAGCAUGUGGUUUAAUUCGAAGAUACGCGAAGAACCUUACCUGGGCUUGAUAUCCUAAGAACCUUUUAGAGAUAAGAGGGUGCUAGCUUGCUAGAACUUAGAGACAGGUGCUGCACGGCUGUCGUCAGCUCGUGUCGUGAGAUGUUGGGUUAAGUCCCGCAACGAGCGCAACCCACGUAUUUAGUUGCUAACGGUUCGGCCGAGCACUCUAAAUAGACUGCCUUCGUAAGGAGGAGGAAGGUGUGGACGACGUCAAGUCAUCAUGGCCCUUAUGCCCAGGGCGACACACGUGCUACAAUGGCAUAUACAAUGAGACGCAAUACCGCGAGGUGGAGCAAAUCUAUAAAAUAUGUCCCAGUUCGGAUUGUUCUCUGCAACUCGAGAGCAUGAAGCCGGAAUCGCUAGUAAUCGUAGAUCAGCCAUGCUACGGUGAAUACGUUCCCGGGUCUUGUACUCACCGCCCGUCACACCAUGGGAGUUGAUUUCACUCGAAGCCGGAAUACUAAACUAGUUACCGUCCACAGUGGAAUCAGCGACUGGGGUGAAGUCGUAACAAGGUAACCGUAGGAGAACCUGCGGUUGGAUCACCUCCUUUCUA